UACGUAGGGUGCGAGCGUUGUCCGGAAUUAUUGGGCGUAAAGAGCUUGUAGGCGGUGUGUCGCGUCGGCCGUGAAAACCUGCAGCUUAACUGUGGGCUUGCGGUCGAUACGGGCAUCACUGGAGUUCGGCAGGGGAGACUGGAAUUCCUGGUGUAGCGGUGAAAUGCGCAGAUAUCAGGAGGAACACCCGGUGGGCGAAG
rnacentral:rRNA from 1 species